UACGGAGGGAGCUAGCGUUGUUCGGAAUUACUGGGCGUAAAGCGCGCGUAGGCGGCUUUGUAAGUUAGAGGUGAAAGCCCCGGAGCUCAAUCCGGAACUGCCUUUAAAACUGCAUCGCUUGAAUCCAGGAGAGGUGAGUGGAAUUCCGAGUGUAGAGGUGAAAUUCGUAGAUAUUCGGAAGAACACCAGUGGCGAAGGCGGCUCACUGGACUGGUAUUGACGCUGAGGUGCGAAAGCGUGGGGAGCAAACAGG
rnacentral:rRNA from 1 species